AACGAACGCUGGCGGCAUGCCUAACACAUGCAAGUCGAACGAGACCUUCGGGUCUAGUGGCGCACGGGUGCGUAACGCGUGGGAACCUGCCCUAGGGUCGGGAUAACUCCCCGGAAGGGGGUCCAAUACCGGAUAAUUGCUUUGGACCAAAGAUUUAUCGCCUUUGGAUGGGCCCGCGUUGGAUUAGCUAGUUGGUAGGGUAAAAGCCUACCAAGGCGACGAUCCAUAGCUGGUCUGAGAGGAUGAUCAGCCACACUGGGACUGAGACACGGCCCAGACUCCUACGGGAGGCAGCAGUGGGGAAUAUUGGACAAUGGGCGAAAGCCUGAUCCAGCAAUGCCGCGUGAGUGAUGAAGGCCUUAGGGUUGUAAAGCUCUUUUACCCGGGAUGAUAAUGACAGUACCGGGAGAAUAAGCUCCGGCUAACUCCGUG
rnacentral:rRNA from 1 species